GGGGAAUAUUGCACAAUGGAGGAAACUCUGAUGCAGCGACGCCGCGUGGAGGAAGAAGGUCUUCGGAUUGUAAACUCCUGUUGUCGGGGACGAUAAUGACGGUACCCGACAAGGAAGUGACGGCUAACUACGUGCCAGCAGCCGCGGUAAAACGUAGGUCACAAGCGUUGUCCGGAAUUACUGGGUGUAAAGGGAGCGCAGGCGGGGAGACAAGUUGGGAGUGAAAUCUAUGGGCUCAACCCAUAAAUUGCUUUCAAAACUGUUUUUCUUGAGUAGUGCAGAGGUAGGCGGAAUUCCCGGUGUAGCGGUGGAAUGCGUAGAUAUCGGGAGGAACACCAGUGGCGAAGGCGGCCUACUGGGCACCAACUGACGCUGAGGCUCGAAAGUAUGGGUAGCAAAC
rnacentral:rRNA from 1 species